GGCCGAUUAUCUCAGUCAGUUGAGCGUAGCUCUAGCAACGCUAAGGUCGCGGGUUCGAUUCCCGUUCGGUCC
rnacentral:tRNA from 1 species